GUGGGGAAUAUUGGACAAUGGGCGCAAGCCUGAUCCAGCCAUGCCGCGUGAGUGAUGAAGGCCCUAGGGUUGUAAAGCUCUUUCAGUGGGGACGAUAAUGACGGUACCCACAGAAGAAGCCCCGGCUAACUCCGUGCCAGCAGCCGCGGUAAUACGGAGGGGGCUAGCGUUGUUCGGAAUUACUGGGCGUAAAGCGCGCGUAGGCGGCUUGACAAGUUGGAGGUGAAAGCCCGGAGCUCAACUUCGGAAUUGCCUUCAAGACUGUCUCGCUCGAGGCAGGGAGAGGAGAGCGGAAUACCCAGUGUAGAGGUGAAAUUCGUAGAUAUUGGGUGGAACACCGGUGGCGAAGGCGGCUCUCUGGCCCUGAUCUGACGCUAAGGCGCGAAAGCGUGGGGAGCAAACAGGAUUAGAAACCCGGGUAGUCC
rnacentral:rRNA from 1 species